AUUGAACGCUGGCGGCAUGCCUUACACAUGCAAGUCGAACGGUAACAGGUCUUCGGAUGCUGACGAGUGGCGAACGGGUGAGUAAUACAUCGGAACGUGCCUAGUAGUGGGGGAUAACUACUCGAAAGAGUGGCUAAUACCGCAUGAGAUCUACGGAUGAAAGCAGGGGCUCGCAAGACCUUGUGCUACUAGAGCGGCCGAUGGCAGAUUAGGUUGUUGGUGGGAUAAAAGCUUACCAAGCCGACGAUCUGUAGCUGGUCUGAGAGGACGAUCAGCCACAAUGGGACUGAGACACGGCCCAGACUCCUACGGGAGGCAGCAGUGGGGAAUUUUGGACAAUGGGCGAAAGCCUGAUCCAGCAAUGCCGCGUGCAGGAUGAAGGCCUUCGGGUUGUAAACUGCUUUUGUACGGAACGAAAAGCCCCGGGUUAAUACCCUGGGGUCAUGACGGUACCGUAAGAAUAAGCACCGGCUAACUACGUGCCAGCCGCCGCGGUAA
rnacentral:rRNA from 1 species